GACGAACGCUGGCGGCGUGCCUAAUACAUGCAAGUUGAGCGCUGAAGGUUGGUACUUGUACCGACUGGAUGAGCAGCGAACGGGUGAGUAACGCGUGGGGAAUCUGCCUUUGAGCGGGGGACAACAUUUGGAAACGAAUGCUAAUACCGCAUAAAAACUUUAAACACAAGUUUUAAGUUUGAAAGAUGCAAUUGCAUCACUCAAAGAUGAUCCCGCGUUGUAUUAGCUAGUUGGUGAGGUAAAGGCUCACCAAGGCGAUGAUACAUAGCCGACCUGAGAGGGUGAUCGGCCACAUUGGGACUGAGACACGGCCCAAACUCCUACGGGAGGCAGCAGUAGGGAAUCUUCGGCAAUGGACGAAAGUCUGACCGAGCAACGCCGCGUGAGUGAAGAAGGUUUUCGGAUCGUAAAACUCUGUCGGUAGAGAAGAACGUUGGUGAGAGUGGAAAGCUCAUCAAGUGACGGUAACUACCCAGAAAGGGACGGCUAACUACGU
rnacentral:rRNA from 1 species